rnacentral:misc_RNA from 1 species
GUCAAAAUUCUCAAUGUAUUUUAAUUGUAUUCAUUUUUUUUCGAAUCCUGAGAAAACUAAUAAAUAUUUUUGAAAAAUUUAAACUCAGAAUGAAAGACUACAUUAUUACCGAGGGCUGAAAGUCCCUGAAAACUUCUAUAAUAUUUAUUUUAAUAAGUUACAGGGCUGAAAAUAAAAAAAAGUGUGAUAUUUAAUUUCAAAUAUUUCAUUCAAUAGAAACUGCUUGUUUAUUCUAAGGGGCUUUCCGCCCUCGGUAAUAAUGUAAUCUUUCAUCCUGCGUUUAAAUUUUUCUAAAAUACUUAUUAGUUUUUUCAUGAAUCAGUUGUUUGUUGUUUGUUUAUUUUAUUAUUUGUCUGUCAUAAUUAAUAUAAUGUCAGAUCAAUCAAAUACACUGCUCAACAUGAUCAUAUCUUACUAAGAGUCGUAUCAGUUUUUUUAGGAACCGGCUGUACCUAUCGCGCAAUUCUUCACAACAAAUAAAGGAAUAUUUUUAUUCAGUAAUCAGUGCUAGUUUUAAUCACAAAGUUAAGCUUCUUUUCCGGAGGAUACUUUUUGACACACUAAAAUGGGAGUGCUAAGUGGUUGGCUGGAUUCGUGGGGAGACCAGGAGCAAGACCAUCAGGAGCAACCCAUAGAAAUUUUCAGGAAUUCGAAAAUUUUAAGCUACGAGGAGCUGAAGGAAUAUUACCUGAGUGUUUUUAAUUUAAUUUAAUUGCGUAAGUUUUUACUUCAAAUUUCGUACACAUAAUACAGUCAUUCGGAUAUAAAUAUUAGAUUGGAAUUGAGGCUUUUAAGGCUCUCGUUACCUUGAUUGAAUAAUUCUGAGUAUUUUUCUUUGUAUACUGCUUAUCGGGAUCCUUAUGAAGGCUACUUUUUUUGUUAUGGAAUACAUUUUGAUUGCAUAUUUUCUAACAAAGGACAGUUCUAUGUUCUAUCUGUUCUAUUUAGAAAUAAUAGAGUUAAUAUUAUAGACAAUUUAUAAAUAGAGACCUUUGAUUCCUAAUUAAGUUUGUCAUUACUAAUUAUUGUGGAACUGUGUGUACAACUUUUUUGUCACAAAGGACACCUCACACGUCUUAUGGAAAAUGUAAUGUCACUCAAUUACAAUAAAAUUUACAUAAAUAGGGCUUUUCAUUGAUUGUCAUUUGUUUCGAGCUUGUGUCAUGUGUCACGUAAUAUUAAUAUAUCUACGUCAUACGUCCUUGGUUUGUGUCGUGGUAUAUACCAGUGUGCGUCUUGGAAGAGUGUUGCCAUCGUAUACGCUAAAAGCUGAUUGGCUCCGCCAUCUUUUGCUCAGAUUUCCGGAUUAAUAUGGAAGGGGUAAACAGAUGAUCAGUUGUUUAUUUUUCGUUUACUGUUUACUCUGGUUUAACCUCACUUAACUAGAUAGAGUGAAAUAUUAAAUUACUAUUACUAUUAUUAUUCAGGUUGAAAAAUGCCUUCCUGUAAGGUAAAAGGUUGCGAAGUCGAUUGGGGAAAAAUAAUGUGAAAAUGAAUUCUUUCCCAAAAGAAUCUGAACGACGGAAAGUGUGGAUUAAAAAUAUAGGGUUAAAACAAGAUCCAAACAAAUAUGCUGUUGUUUGUGAAAAAAACUGUAAAUAGUAUUUAAGGCAACGAUUGUGAAUGAGUGAGAAGUCUAAUAAAGCCACGACGAGAUACUGUAUUAGAGCGUACGAUUUGGAGGUAUUUUUGAUUAGAUAAAUUUUGUAAAGUACAAUAUAAGUUAGAUUUGAUAAUGUGUAGUAUUUCCUAAUAAAUUAAAUACUAUUAAGUGUUUAUUGUUCUUGUAAGUUAGUGUGGUAAAUAAAUAAUAUGAAGUAAG